rnacentral:tRNA from 1 species
GGGCAUAUAGCUCAGGGGCAGAGCGUUUACCUCACACAUAUGAAGCUCUGGGUUCAAUCCCCAGUACCA